CGGCAUGCCUUACACAUGCAAGUCGAACGGCAGCGCGGGAGCAAUCCUGGCGGCGAGUGGCGAACGGGUGAGUAAUACAUCGGAACGUGCCCAAUCGUGGGGGAUAACGCAGCGAAAGCUGUGCUAAUACCGCAUACGAUCUACGGAUGAAAGCAGGGGAUCGCAAGACCUUGCGCGAAUGGAGCGGCUGAUGGCAGAUUAGGUAGUUGGUGAGGUAAAGGCUCACCAAGCCUUCGAUCUGUAGCUGGUCUGAGAGGACGACCAGCCACACUGGGACUGAGACACGGCCCAGACUCCUACGGGAGGCAGCAGUGGGGAAUUUUGGACAAUGGGCGAAAGCCUGAUCCAGCCAUGCCGCGUGCAGGAUGAAGGCCUUCGGGUUGUAAACUGCUUUUGUACGGAACGAAACGGUCUUUUCUAAUAAAGAAGGCUAAUGACGGUACCGUAAGAAUAAGCACCGGCUAACUACGUGCCAGCAGCCGCGGUAAUACGUAGGGUGCAAGCGUUAAUCGGAAUUACUGGGCGUAAAGCGUGCGCAGGCGGUGAUGUAAGACAGUUGUGAAAUCCCCGGGCUCAACCUGGGAACUGCAUCUGUGACUGCAUCGCUGGAGUACGGCAGAGGGGGAUGGAAUUCCGCGUGUAGCAGUGAAAUGCGUAGAUAUGCGGAGGAACACCGGUGGCGAAGGCAAUCCCCUGGG
rnacentral:rRNA from 1 species